rnacentral:rRNA from 1 species
UACGUAGGGUGCAAGCGUUGUCCGGAAUUAUUGGGCGUAAAGAGCUUGUAGGCGGUUUGUCGCGUCUGCUGUGAAAUUUCGGGGCUCAACCCCGAACUUGCAGUGGGUACGGGCAGACUAGAGUGUGGUAGGGGGGACUGGAAUUCCUGGUGUAGCGGUGAAAUGCGCAGAUAUCAGGAGGAACACCGAUGGCGAAGGCAGGUCUCUGGGCCACUACUGACGUUGAGAAGCGAAAGCAUGGGGAGCGAACAGG